ACGGAUCACACGUAACGGAUCACACCGUAACUGAUCACAGAACGUACUACACACCCGUCCUGAUCACACCGUAACGGAUCACACCGUAACGGAUCACACCGUAACUGCUGCCAUGUGACUGGAAACAGAUAGGACUCUACAUGUUUGUAGAUGAGGUGUUGUUGUUCUGGACUCUCUAUUUCCUCCAUACUCCACUACUGGUUUGAUUCCCUAUUGGCACCUGCACCGAUGAUGCACUUAAUGUUCUGUUACUUGAUAAAGGAAUGAAUCACUGUCCGUUACACGAUUGAAGAUCUAAAUUAUWAUUUUUUUAAUCGUUGAAAGAGUGUAGUGUAGAAUACCGGACUGAGCAGUCUUCUAGGUUUUGUUAAAUGCCAAAGGUAUUGUUCCCCUGAUAUUUGGGGAAWACAAAAAUAAAAAAGAAUCAUUCUUGUGUACACAAAGCCAGGAGCAUAUUUGUGGGCAGGGCUGACUAUUCCAGUGGCUGGUUCCAUGCACAGUGAUUGGCCAGGAUAACUAGGUCAGAUGUACCGAUUGGACACAUUAUUUACAAUAACUCCGCCCCCCCCCCAAGAGUGGCACGUUUUGGAGGAGAUGAUGUCAGUGGACAACACCUUUAACACUAUCUGGCACCCUAUUUAGUAUGUAGUGCACUACUUUGGACCAGAGCACAUAAUGGGUCUGGUUUAAAGUAGUGCACUAUAUAGGGAACAGGGUUCCAUUUGCCCUGGUCUAAAGUAGUGCACUAUAUAGGYAACGGGGUUCCAUUUGCCCUGGUCUAAAGUAGUGCACUAUAUAGGGAACGGGGUUCCAUUUCAGACAGCUUCAGGACCAUCAAUCCUUCUGUAUGGUCAUCUCUGGAACGGGGUUCCAUUUCACACAGCUUCAGGACCAUCCCAUCCUUCUGUAUGGUCAUCUCUGGAUGGAUGUUCAAAAUGGACCCAUCUUUUCCAUCACUUCUCAGAUCAUUUCAGUGACGUCUGAUUUCAAGAUUAACAUUUUUUUAAUUAAAAUUGUUACAUGUUGAAUAGCAACUUUAACUUUGGUUCCAGGCUUCCUUCUGUUAGUGCCUGGGCUGUCGACGCUAUACACAUGGGCUCAGGUCUAAAGUAGUGCACUAUAUAGGGAAUGGGGUGCCAUUUGCCCUGGUCUAAAGUAGUGCACUAUAUAGGGAAUGGGGUGCCAUUUGCCCUGGUCUAAAGUAGUGCACUAUAUAGGGAAUGGGGCCCUGGUCUAAAGUAGUGCACUAUAUAGGGAAUGAGGUGUCUUUUGGGAUGCAGUGGUUUACUCUGCACAAACAAGUACUUACUGUCUUCUGCCUUCUCC
rnacentral:lncRNA from 1 species